rnacentral:rRNA from 1 species
CACGUAGGGGGCAAGCGUUGUCCGGAUUUAUUGGGCGUAAAGAGCUCGUAGGCGGCUCGGUAAGUCAGGUGUGAAACCUCCAGGCUCAACCUGGAGACGCCGCCUGAUACUGCCGUGGCUAGAGUCCGGUAGAGGAGCGUAGAAUUCCUGGUGUAGCGGUGAAAUGCGCAGUAUAUAGGAGGAAUACCAGCGGCGAAGGCGGCGCUCUGGGCCGGUACUGACGCUGAGGAGCGAAAGCGUGGGGAGCAAACAGG